rnacentral:tRNA from 1 species
GCCUGGGUGGUUCAGUCGGUUAAGUGUCUGACUUCGGCUCAGGUCAUGAUCUCACGGUUCGUGGGUUCGAGCCCCACAUCAGGCU